GACGAACGCUGGCGGCGUGCCUAAUACAUGCAAGUAGAACGCUGAAGAGAGGAGCUUGCUCUUCUUGGAUGAGUUGCGAACGGGUGAGUAAAGCGUAGGUAACAUGCCUUGUAGCGGGGGAUAACUCUUGGAAACGCUAGCUAAUACCGCAUAAAAUUGGAUGACACAUGUCAUUUAUUUGAAAGGGGCAAUUGUUCUACUACAAGAUGGACCUGCGUUGUAUUAGUUAGUAGGUGAGGUAAUGGCUCACCUAGGCGACGAUACAUAGCCGGCCUGAGGAGGUGGUCGGCCACACUGGGACUGGGACACGGCCCAGGCUCCUACGGGGGGCAGCAGUAGGGAAACUUCGGCAAUGGGGGCAACCCUGACCGGGCAACGCCGCGUGAGUGAAGAAGGGUUUCGGAUCGUAAAGCUCUGUUGUUAGUCAAGAACGGGUGUGAGAGUGGAAAGUUCACACUGUGACGGUAGCUUACCAGAAAGGGACGGCUAACUACGUG
rnacentral:rRNA from 1 species